UACGAAGGGGGCUAGCGUUGCUCGGAAUCACUGGGCGUAAAGCGCACGUAGGCGGAUUGCUAAGUCAGGGGUGAAAUCCUGGAGCUCAACUCCAGAACUGCCUUUGAUACUGGCGAUCUCUAGUCCGGGAGAGGUGAGUGGAACUGCGAGUGUAGGAGGUGAAAUUCGUAGAUAUUCGCAAGAACACCAGUGGCGAAGGCGGCCUCACUGGCCCGGUACUGACGCUGAGGUGGCGAAAGCGGUGGGAGCAAACAGG
rnacentral:rRNA from 1 species